rnacentral:rRNA from 1 species
GAUGAACGCUGGCGGCGUGCCUAAUACAUGCAAGUCGAGCGAACAGACGAGGAGCUUGCUCCUCUGACGUUAGCGGCGGACGGGUGAGUAACACGUGGAUAACCUACCUAUAAGACUGGGAUAACUUCGGGAAACCGGAGCUAAUACCGGAUAAUAUAUUGAACCGCAUGGUUCAAUAGUGAAAGACGGUUUUGCUGUCACUUAUAGAUGGAUCUGCGCCGCAUUAGCUAGUUGGUAAGGUAACGGCUUACCAAGGCAACGAUGCGUAGCCGACCUGAGAGGGGGAUCGGCCACACUGGAACUGAGACACGGUCCAGACUCCUACGGGAGGCAGCAGUAGGGAAUCUUACGCAAUGGGCGAAAGCCUGACGGAGCAACGCCGCGUGAGUGAUGAAGGUCUUCGGAUCGUAAAACUCUGUUAUUAGGGAAGAACAAAUGUGUAAGUAACUAUGCACGUCUUGACGGUACCUAAUCAGAAAGCCACGGCUAACUACGUG